ACUUAUCUAAUAUAUAAAGUAUAUCUGACUUCCAAUCAGAAAGUCUAUUACAAGGAUGAGUA
rnacentral:tRNA from 1 species